GUCGAGGGGCAGCAUCAUUAAAGCUUGCUUUGAUGGAUGGCGACCGGCGCACGGGUGAGUAACACGUAUCCAACCUGCCGACAACACUGGGAUAGCCUUUCGAAAGAAAGAUUAAUACCGGAUGGCAUAGUCUUCCCGCAUGGGAUGACUAUUAAAGAAUUUCGGUUGUCGAUGGGGAUGCGUUCCAUUAGGCAGUUGGCGGGGUAACGGCCCACCAAACCAACGAUGGAUAGGGGUUCUGAGAGGAAGGUCCCCCACAUUGGAACUGAGACACGGUCCAAACUCCUACGGGAGGCAGCAGUGAGGAAUAUUGGUCAAUGGACGAGAGUCUGAACCAGCCAAGUAGCGUGAAGGAUGACUGCCCUAUGGGUUGUAAACUUCUUUUAUACGGGAAUAAAGUGAGCCACGUGUGGCUUUUUGUAUGUACCGUAUGAAUAAGGAUCGGCUAACUCCGUGCCAGCAGCCGCGGUAAUACGGAGGAUCCGAGCGUUAUCCGGAUUUAUUGGGUUUAAAGGGAGCGUAGGCGGGUUGUUAAGUCAGUUGUGAAAGUUUGCGGCUCAACCGUAAAAUUGCAGUUGAUACUGGCGACCUUGAGUGCAGCAGAGGUAGGCGGAAUUCGUGGUGUAGCGGUGAAAUGCUUAGAUAUCACGAAGAACUCCGAUUGCGAAGGCAGCUUACUGGAUUGUAACUG
rnacentral:rRNA from 1 species